GACGAACGCUGGCGGCGUGCUUAACACAUGCAAGUCGAACGGAAAGGCCCCUUUGGGGGUACUCGAGUGGCGAACGGGUGAGUAACACGUGAGUAACCUGCCCUUGACUUCGGGAUAACUUCAGGAAACUGGGGCUAAUACCGGAUAGGAAUCCUUGCUGCAUGGUGGGGGUUGGAAAGCUUCGGCGGUUUUGGAUGGACUCGCGGCUUAUCAGCUUGUUGGUGGGGUAGUGGCUUACCAAGGCUUUGACGGGUAGCCGGCCUGAGAGGGCGACCGGCCACAUUGGGACUGAGAUACGGCCCAGACUCCUACGGGAGGCAGCAGUGGGGAAUAUUGCACAAUGGGCGGAAGCCUGAUGCAGCAACGCCGCGUGCGGGAUGACGGCCUUCGGGUUGUAAACCGCUUUCAGCAGGGGCGAAGCUUGUGGUGACGGUACCUGCAGAAGGAGCACCGGCUAACUACGUG
rnacentral:rRNA from 1 species